rfam:Parcubacteria bacterium C7867-007 C7867_00031, whole genome shotgun sequence.
GCCGAGGUAGCUCAGUUGGUAGAGCAAUUGCAUCGUAAGCAAUGGGUCGGGAGUUCAAGUCUCCCCCUCGGCU